GUUAGUAACGCGUGGGAACAUACCCUUUUCUACGGAAUAGCCUCGGGAAACUGAGAGUAAUACCGUAUAAGCCCUUCGGGGGAAAGAUUUAUCGGGAAAGGAUUGGCCCGCGUUAGAUUAGAUAGUUGGUGGGGUAAUGGCCUACCAAGUCUACGAUCUAUAGCUGGUUUGAGAGGAUGAUCAGCCACACUGGAACUGAGACACGGUCCAGACUCCUACGGGAGGCAGCAGUGGGGAAUAUUGCACAAUGGGCGAAAGCCUGAUGCAGCCAUGCCGCGUGUGUGAAGAAGGCCUUCGGGUUGUAAAGCACUUUCAGUCAGGAGGAAAGGGUGUGAGUUAAUACCUCACAUCUGUGACGUUACUGACAGAAGAAGCACCGGCUAACUCCGUGCCAGCAGCCGCGGUAAUACGGAGGGUGCGAGCGUUAAUCGGAAUUACUGGGCGUAAAGCG
rnacentral:rRNA from 1 species